rnacentral:rRNA from 1 species
CAUGCAGUCGAACGGUAAGGUCUCUUCGGAGAUACACGAGUGGCGCACGGGUGAGUAACGCGUAUGCAACCUACCUUGAACUGGGGAAUAGCCCCGAGAAAUCGGGAUUAAUACUCCAUAACAUUCAUUCUUCUCCUGGAGGAUGAAUUAAAGCUCCGGCGGUUUAAGAUGGGCAUGCGUGACAUUAGCUAGUUGGUGAGGUAACGGCUCACCAAGGCAACGAUGUCUAGGGGUCCUGAGAGGGUUAUCCCCCACACUGGUACUGAGACACGGACCAGACUCCUACGGGAGGCAGCAGUAAGGAAUAUUGGGCAAUGGACGCAAGUCUGACCCAGCCAUGCCGCGUGCAGGAUGACUGCCCUACGGGUUGUAAACUGCUUUUGUACGGGAAGAAUCCCCCCGACGUGUCGGGGAUUGACGGUACCGUGCGAAUAAGCAUCGGCUAACUCCGUGCCAGCAGCCGCGGUAAUACGGAGGAUGCAAGCGUUAUCCGGAUUCAUUGGGUUUGAAGGGUGCGCAGGCGGAAUGGUAAGUCAGUGGUGAAAUCCCCCGGCUCAACCGGGGAACUGCCAUUGAUACUGCUAUUCUUGAGUACACUUGAGGUAGGCGGAAUGUAUCAUGUAGCGGUGAAAUGCUUAGAUAUGAUACAGAACACCAAUAGCGAAGGCAGCUUACCAAAGUGAAACUGACGCUCAUGCACGAAAGCGUGGGGAGCAAACAGGAUUAGAUACCCUGGUAGUCCACGCUGUA